rnacentral:rRNA from 1 species
AAUAUUGGACAAUGGGGGCAACCCUGAUCCAGCCAUGCCGCGUGUGUGAAGAAGGNCUNNGGAUUNUNAAGCACUUUAAGUUGNNNNNAAGGGCUUUAGGUUAAUACCCUGAAGUUUUGACGUUACCAACAGAAUAAGCACCGGCUAACUCUGUGCCAGCAGCCGCGGUAAUACAGAGGGUGCAAGCGUUAAUCGGAAUUACUGGGCGUAAAGACGCCGUAGUUGGUUGGUUGAUGAGUUAGAAGUGACCCCCGCGGCCACCACGUAAGAGCUUUCAUAAAAGGUGACAAAGAAGAGGACGGCGGGGGGUGGUGUUAUUUCCUUUGCAGCGGUAAGACUCGUAGAUGUAAGAAGGACCAGUAGUGGCGACGACUACCUGGACUGAUACUGACACUGAGGUGCGAAAGCGUGGGGAGCAAAC